rnacentral:rRNA from 1 species
UAGGGAAUCUUCCGCAAUGGGCGAAAGCCUGACGGAGCAACGACGCGUGAGUGAUGAAGGUCUUCGGAUCGUAAAACUCUGUUAUUAGGGAAGAACAAAUGUGUAAGUAACUAUGCACGUCUUGACGGUACCUAAUCAGAAAGCCACGGCUAACUACGUGCCAGCAGCCGCGGUAAUACGUAGGUGGCAAGCGUUAUCCGGAAUUAUUGGGCGUAAAGCGCGCGUAGGCGGUUUUUUAAGUCUGAUGUGAAAGCCCACGGCUCAACCGUGGAGGGUCAUUGGAAACUGGAAAACUUGAGUGCAGAAGAGGAAAGUGGAAUUCCAUGUGUAGCGGUGAAAUGCGCAGAGAUAUGGAGGAACACCAGUGGCGAAGGCGACUUUCUGGUCUGUAACUGACGCUGAUGUGCGAAAGCGUGGGGAUCAAACAGG